AUUGAACGCUGGCGGCAGGCCUAACACAUGCAAGUCGAGCGGAUGAAGGGAGCUUGCUCCUGGAUUCAGCGGCGGACGGGUGAGUAAUGCCUAGGAAUCUGCCUGGUAGUGGGGGAUAACGUCCUGAAACGGGCGCUAAUACCGCAUACGUCCUGAGGGAGAAAGUGGGGGAUCUUCGGACCUCACGCUAUCAGAUGAGCCUAGGUCGGAUUAGCUAGUUGGUGGGGUAAAGGCCUACCAAGGCGACGAUCCGUAACUGGUCUGAGAGGAUGAUCAGUCACACUGGAACUGAGACACGGUCCAGACUCCUACGGGAGGCAGCAGUGGGGAAUAUUGGACAAUGGGCGAAAGCCUGAUCCAGCCAUGCCGCGUGUGUGAAGAAGGUCUUCGGAUUGUAAAGCACUUUAAGUUGGGAGGAAGGGCAGUAAGUUAAUACCUUGCUGUUUUGACGGUACCAACAGAAUAAGCACCGGCUAACUUCGUG
rnacentral:rRNA from 1 species